GGGGGGCUGCUGGGACACGGAGAAACCAUGAAGUAGAACCGUUGGUCUCCUGCGCUUGAGAGAGCUUGGAGUUACUGGUGUUUCGUUUAUCUUGAGCCAGAGGUUCGAGACCCCGGCCGGCCCUGGAGACGUGGGGCAAUCUAACUACAGUAAUGUGGAGCAAGCACUGGCUUUACCUUUUCUCAGAAUCUCAUGGCUGGAGUAUGCAACCCUGUCUUUUCCUGCUGAUCCUCCAUGUACAUUCCCAGCACCAGGAGCCCACCCAGUGUUCCUCAGACUCUGGGAGGUUCUGCCUGACUUCCCCAGGACCCAGCCUUCUCCUUAUUUGUGAUUCCCAAGGAGCUUUGGAAAGACCUUCUGGAAGCCCAGAGGAGGCAGGCUUCACAGACCAGUUCCUCUUCAUCCUCUUCCUCACCUGGCCUGAAAGUGAACACUGGACCUGACUAACGGCAAGGGAACUUUCUGAGGAUCUGCUCUGCUGACUCCUUACCUGUCCUUACUCCUUACCUUACCUAGCCCCAGGCUAGACUUCCCCGCCUCAGCUCCUACUUUCCUCUUCCUUCCAUCCUUCAGGCUCUGCUCCUUCCUAGCUCCACCUGUGAUCAAUUUCUCCUGUCUGGACGCUGGUGGCCAAGUCACUUCCCCUCUCUUUGUUCUUUUCCAGUUUGGAAAAUAGGGGUAUUCGCUGAACCUGUAUCCUGCUAUCAUGGAUGUAAAAAUGAAUGCCCUAAGGUUGACAGUGUUACUAGCUGAAUAUAUGGUAAAGUGUUAUCCACUCAAUAAACAUAACACCUUUCUAGACUUCUUUC